rnacentral:rRNA from 1 species
UGAGUAACACGUAUCCAACCUGCCGUCUACUCUUGGACAGCCUUCUGAAAGGAAGAUUAAUACAAGAUGGCAUCAUGAGUCCGCAUGUUCACAUGAUUAAAGGUAUUCCGGUAGACGAUGGGGAUGCGUUCCAUUAGAUAGUAGGCGGGGUAACGGCCCACCUAGUCUUCGAUGGAUAGGGGUUCUGAGAGGAAGGUCCCCCACAUUGGAACUGAGACACGGACCAA